AUGGACUUUUUUCCUUUUAUUAAAAAGUUUGACAAGUGCUUUUGAAGAAGCGAAAUAAUCUUGUCUCUGAUAAAGUGCAAUCGUUAACUUCCACUCAAUUCAACCAUGUUGGCUGAAUUUUAUCAAUAACGCUCAUAUACUGGUUCACUCGAUCCAAAUUUCUGACAUGUGAGUCUCCAGUCCAGAAAAGUUUCCAAGGUGUUUUGCUUGACUUUAAGGAGCCUACACUUCUUUCAAAGUACCAUUUAUU